GACGAACGCUGGCGGCGUGCCUAACACAUGCAAGUCGAACGAAGAAUGUUUUUCGGAAUAUUCUUAGUGGCGGACGGGUGAGUAACGCGUGAACAAUCUGCCCCGUACAAAGGGAUAGCCUCGGGAAACCGGGAUUAAAACCAUAUAACACUUAACUGCCGCAUGGUAGUGAAGUCAAAUCGAGUAAGAGGUAUGGGAUGAGUUCGCGUCUGAUUAGCUAGUUGGUGAGGUAAGGGCUCACCAAGGCGACGAUCAGUAGCCGGCCUGAGAGGGUGAACGGCCACACUGGAACUGAGACACGGUCCAGACUCCUACGGGAGGCAGCAGUGGGGAAUAUUGCACAAUGGAGGGAACUCUGAUGCAGCGACGCCGCGUGAGUGAAGAAGGUCUUCGGAUCGUAAAACUCUGUCCUUGGUGAAGAAAGGACGGUAGCCAAGGAGGAAGCCCCGGGCUAACUACGUG
rnacentral:rRNA from 1 species